UACGUAGGGGGCAAGCGUUGUCCGGAUUCAUUGGGCGUAAAGAGCGUGUAGGCGGCCAGGUAGGUCGGUUGUGAAAACUCGAGGCUCAACCUCGAGAUGUCGGCGGAAACCGUCUGGCUAGAGCCCGGAAGAGGAGAGUGGAAUUCCUGGUGUAGCGGUGGAAUGCGCAGAUAUCAGGAGGAACACCGAUGGCGAAGGCAGGUCUCUGGGCCAUUACUGACACUGAGAAGCGAAAGCAUGGGGAGCGAACAGG
rnacentral:rRNA from 1 species